CCGAGAUCAGCUUAGAAGAUUAGGUUAAGAAGCUUCACUCCACUCAAGGAACCAACUUUGGAAACUAACAGGUGAAUUUUCUAUGUGAAAACAUAGUACUUCAGUGCACUGCUCUGUUCUCCUACUGUUCCCACCUAGAGAGCAAGGAGUAUUCUCCUUAGUCUGCUAUGUUGGAACAAAACCCAAGCUUCACUACGGCUGUUGUGGACCACAUCCUCUGCUUCCUCCAGCUGUUAUUUUCAGAGAAGAAAAUCAACUUUGUUAGAGGAUGCUGUUGACUUUUCAAAUCCAAUUAGCAGCACUAUGAACAUUUCUCAUGAAUCAUAUCUUUCACAAGAAACAACUAUGGCUGUUUGUAUUUAGAGUGCUGUCAGCACUGUCCAUGAAGUUGUGUGGUCUUAUGGGUCAGAAGGUGGACACUAAUUACCUGUAUUUACUACCACUAUGAGCAGGGUUGUCCUCCAAGAUUGAAGCCUGUGGUGUUGCUGUAAUUUCUGAUAUGCUUUUCAAAGAAUGCAUAAUGCACAGAACAUGCCAAAAGUGAAGUAUUUUAAUAAGGCUCCAUCGCAAUUAAUUCUCAAGAACAGGAUUCAUGAGUCAAGGCAUUUUGAACUUUUUAAAAAAUAAUAUACAUCUUUUGAGCCAAAACAGACUCAGAACUUUCGGUUCAUUAUAAAAGCUAAAUCAUAAUCAUUAUCACUUGAUAUAGUUUG